rnacentral:rRNA from 1 species
GGACUACACGGGUUUCUAAUCCUGUUUGCUACCCACGCUUUCGUGCCUCAGCGUCAGUCGUGGUCCAGUAAGCCGUCUACACCACCGGUGUUCCUCCUGAUAUCUACGCAUUUCACCGCUACACCAGGAAUUCCGCUUACCUCUCCCACACUCAAGCCUACCAGUUUCCACCGCACCCUCCCAGUUAAGCCGGGAGAUUUCACAGCAGACUUGGUAAACCGCCUACGCACUCUUUACGCCCAGUAACUCCGAACAACGCUUGCUGCCUACGUAUUACCGCGGCGGCUGGCAC